AUUGAACGCUGGCGGCAGGCCUAACACAUGCAAGUCGAGCGAGCGGCGGACGGGUGAGUAAGGUAUGUGGAUCUGCCCGAGAGAGGGGGUCAAGUACUGGAAACGGAUGCUAAAACCGCACACUAGAGGAUGAACCCAUCUUGGAUUAGCUAGUAGGUGGGGUAAAGGCUCACCUAGGCGACGAUCUGUAGCUGGUGUGAGAGGAUGAACAGCCACACUGGGACUGAGACACGGCCCAGACUCCUACGGGAGGCAGCAGUGGGGAAUAUUGCACAAUGGGCGCAAGCCUGAGGCAGCCAUGCCGCGUGUGUGAAGAAGGCCUUCGGGUUGUAAAGUACUUUCAGCGGGGAGGCGUUACCAGCAGAAGAAGCACCGGCUAACUCCGUGCCAGCAGCCGCGGUAAUAC
rnacentral:rRNA from 1 species